CCAAGUCUGUAUUUAUACAAUAAUCAACCAACAGGUUCAGCCAGAUGAAGACUGAAGGCAAUACUGGCUGAUGAAGAUGAUUUGCAGAGCCAUGAGUGUGGGGGGCACACUCCAGGUCAGUCAGCUGAGCUCUGGUGUAAGUACAGCCUUCAAAGACAAGUCCAAGAGUGUGAACAGCCUGUACAAGCAGCAGAUCUUCCGCUGGCAUUUGCAGCAACAAGGUGAUUAUCAAUAGUACAGUCUGCAGGAUAAUCAUUGAUCACUGUCAAGGGUCAAGACAUGAUUCUGCACAUCGAGGGACUCAACACUAAAUCCAGAGCAUGCAGAGUACUACAGGACUUCGGAAAUAAAGGAAUAUUACAAGGAUCCAAAUUGAGAGACCCACCCUUUCUGCCACAAAAGAAGGAUGCAAAGGAGAAGUCUUCAGCCAGAGAGGGCCAGGAGCGGCACAAAGGGUCAGCCUUAAGGGUGAGUGGGUGCUGGCAAGCCCAGCUAUCUGCGGUUACCUUAAUACACAGCCUCCCUCAAAUUCCUGGAACUGAUUAGUUGUUAACUGCAAGGAAAAUAGUCGUGCAGCAAAAGGGAACGGAGGCAGUUUUUGAGUGGUGUAAUUUCUGUGGUCUUUCCCUCCACACUGGCAUGCCCUUAUGCUACACAUAGAACUGCCGCUGAACCAGUCAAUGCAAUGACAUCGCUCUCCACUGUCAGAAAGCCAAAGGAAAUCCGCUCAUGAUUUCUCCACCUGUUCCAGAGUCCUGCAUAGCAAGGCCAGGACACAGGAGCCUCUCCGGGCACGCAGGGGCUGGUGGUUCCUGCCCAAAUCACAAUUACUUUUUCUAAAACAGGCCCUAGCUUAACAGACCAGCGGGUUUAUUGUGCCCAAAACCGAGAGAAACCUGCCCAAAGACACGCUCCCAGCCCCUCGUAGAAAAAACUGCUUGUUAAAUUUCCGCCGCCCCCGCGCCCCUCGCCCCCUCCGCUGCGCCGGGGAUGGCCGCGGCUGAGGAGACAC
rnacentral:lncRNA from 1 species